GACAAAUGACUCCCGCCUGCUGCAGAUCUGUCUGGAAGGGUCAGCCCGUAGCACUUAGUCACGCAAAGCUGACAGAUGUUGGAGGCUCAGAUACAGAACCUGUUUCUGACAUCGAAUGAAAUGAAUUGCAGAUAAGACGCAGUGAGGCGCACAGUGACAUUGCAUUCUGCUCUUCUGGCCUUUCUGUCCCUUUGGUACCAAGACGCAGAACAGUGUAACCCUUCACUAGCAAACGUGUUGUAAGGUGUUCGGAUUAUGUCCGUAUUUAAGAGGACUGCUGCGCUACGCAGCCGUUUCCGAGGCUGACCUGCGCUCUUCACUUUUCUGUCUCCAGCCUGCGCUGUGUUCUUCUCCCUGUAUCCGGCACCUCUGUCCUGUAGCCCGCAUUUUUGUUUGUCUUUGCUGUGCUGUUUCUUCAGUUUGUGAUAUACUGAGCUGUUAUUUUUCCACGUGUUUGCUGGGGUUCUCACCACGCUAGUUUUCUUCGCAGAUAUGUCCGAGAAACAGGCUCUGUCCAUGGUGACUGUGGCUGGGGCUGUGAUUGGAGCAGUUCUUGCCCUCUUCCUCCUCAUAUUUUUCACCGUUGUCAUCCUCUCAAGCCGCAAAGCCUCGCAUCCGGUCUACACGGACAAAGUGAUCGAUCUCCCUCCUACCCACAAGCCCCCUCCCCCCUACUCAGAGAGGCCCGUGUCUGUACCGCAGGCUACAAACCCUGGACAGGCACGGAGAGUGGAGCGACAAACCAAGAUGACGGAGAACACGUCUGCCAAGAGUGCCCAGUGUGAGGCCCGGGGCCCCAUUCGCCAGCCUCUGUCCUAUCAUGAAUGGAUUUGUCAUCACAACGGUGCAGACCGCAUCUACGUAAACCACCGCGAGCACUAUGUGUGAACGGGUUGCGUGAUGGGAUGCGUGCCUUCGGUCCUCCACCCCAUUACACACUUUUACCAUCCACAGUGACCACAUGCACCACCCCCAGAAGCAGCCCUGCUCCACAUCAACCCUUCAGUUACGAGUAUAUUGCCAGAACCCAAAGGACAACAAGACUGUCCUGAUGGCCCCUAAUCUGAAUAACGGGUGCUUUGACACACUGAUUAUUUAGCAAUCGGCCCAAUCACAUGAUAAAUUCCAUAAAUACCUCGUAAUAGUCUAGCAAAUAUGCUUCUCUUCACCUCCCACCACUGACUGUAGAUUGAAAACGGACUUUGUGAAACUAAUGUCAUGAGUUUAAUUAAAUCAGACCGCACACCGAGUCUAAUAUGCAUUUCUGUUCCCUGGUCCAGUCCCGGUCUAGUCCCGGUCCAGUCCCAGUCCCAUUAUGUUCCCAUUUGCCAUUUUAACGUCGGUGCUUCAGAUCAAUAAACAAAUGGUUCAAGAGUACUCUGCA
rnacentral:lncRNA from 1 species